rnacentral:lncRNA from 1 species
AUGGGAUGGACACGGAAUCAACAUGGGAUUGACAUGGGAUUAACAUGGGAUCUACACGGGAUCAACAUGGGAUUAACACGGGAUCGACAUGGGGUGGACUUGGGAUUAACAUGGGAUCUACACGGGAUUGACAUGGGAUUAACAUGGGAUCAACAUGGGAUUAACAUGGGAUUAACAUGGGAUGGUCACAGUGCUCUUCCGCCACGCCACCGACCCACACAGUGCACAUGCUAAGAACAUGCUAAGAACCCGUGAUGAGCCCCAUCUUAACACGCUAAGAACAUGGUAAGAAACCGCGAUGAAUUCCAGUUUAACAUGCUAAGAACAUACUAAGAUCAUGCUAAGAACCUGUGAUGAAUCCCAGCCAAACAUGGCAAGAACAUGAUACGAACAUACUAAGAACCCGUGAUGAAUCAGAGCCAAACAUGCUAAGAACACGCUACGAAGACACUAAGAACAUACUUGCUUAGAUCAUGCUAAGAACCCGCGAUGAAUCCCAGCCAAACAUGCUAAGAACACGCUAAGAAGACCCUAAGAACAUACUGAGAUCAUGCUAAGAACCUGCGAUGAAUCCCAGCCAAACAUGGUAAGAACAUGCUAAGAACCAGCAAUGAAUCACAGCCAUAUGUGCUAAGAACAUGCUAAGAACAUGGCAAGAACCUGCCAUAUAUCUCAGCCUCACAUGCUAAGAACACGUUAAGAAUAUGGUAAGAACACACUACGAUCAUGAUAAGAACAUACUAAGAACCUGCGAUCAAUCUCAGUCAAACAUAUUAAGAACACGCUAAGAAAACACUAAGAACAUGCUAAGAUCAUGCUAAGAACCCACAAUGAAUCCCUGUCAAACAUGCUAAGAACAUGCUAAGAACAUGUUAAGAACACACAACGCCUUCCAGACGGAUUUCAUGAUGGUUCUCUCCUAUAACAUGCCUUAAGCGUGUUCCAGGCUUGUUCCAAGCAUGAUCUAAGCGUGUUCUAAGCGUGUUCGGAGUCCAAACAAGGCGAAAUCUUCAAUUUCAGGCUGUUUUCAUGAUGGUUUCAUGCCAUUUUGCUACUUAAUGUGUUCUUAGCGUGUUCUUAGCAUGUUCUAGGCAUGUUCUUAGCCUGUUCUAAGCGUGUUCCAUGUCCGAACAAGGUGGAAUCUCCAAAAUCAGGCUGUUUUCACAAGGAUUUCAUCCCGUGUUCCCCCUUAGCGUGUUCUACAUGUGUCCUAAGCAUGUUCUAAGUGUGUUCU